rnacentral:rRNA from 1 species
UGGGGAAUUUUGGACAAUGGGCGCAAGCCUGAUCCAGCCAUGCCGCGUGCGGGAAGAAGGCCUUCGGGUUGUAAACCGCUUUUGUCAGGGAAGAAAUCUUCUGAGUUAAUACCUCGGGAGGAUGACGGUACCUGAAGAAUAAGCACCGGCUAACUACGUGCCAGCAGCCGCGGUAAUACGUAGGGUGCAAGCGUUAAUCGGAAUUACUGGCGUAAAGCGUGCGCAGGCGGUUUUGUAAGACAGAGGUGAAAUCCCCGGGCUCAACCUGGGAACUGCCUUUGUGACUGCAAGGCUUGAGUGCGGCAGAGGGGGAUGGAAUUCCGCGUGUAGCAGUGAAAUGCGUAGAUAUGCGGAGGAACACCGAUGGCGAAGGCAAUCCCCUGGGCCUGCACUGACGCUCAUGCACGAAAGCGUGGGGAGCAAACAGGAUUAGAUACCCUGGUAGUCCACGCCCUAAACGAUGUCAACUGGUUGUUGGGAAGGUUCCUUCUCAGUAACGUAGCUAACGCGUGAAGUUGACCGCCUGGGGAGUACGGCCGCAAGGUUGAAACUAAAUGAAUUGACGGGGUCAUAGCUGUUU